rnacentral:rRNA from 1 species
CUCGCCGGAAGACCAAGGGUUCCUGUCCAACGUUAAUCGGGGCAGGGUGAGUCGACCCCUAAGGCGAGGCCGAAAGGCGUAGUCGAUGGGAAACAGGUUAAUAUUCCUGUACUUGGUGUUACUGCGAAGGGGGGACGGAGAAGGCUAUGUUGGCCGGGCGACGGUUGUCCCGGUUUAAGCGUGUAGGCUGGUUUUCCAGGCAAAUCCGGAAAAUCAAGGCUGAGGCGUGAUGACGAGGCACUACGGUGCUGAAGCAACAAAUGCCCUGCUUCCAGGAAAAGCCUCUAAGCAUCAGGUAACAUCAAAUCGUACCCCAAACCGACACAGGUGGUCAGGUAGAGAAUACCAAGGCGCUUGAGAGAACUCGGGUGAAGGAACUAGGCAAAAUGGUGCCGUAACUUCGGGAGAAGGCACGCUGAUAUGUAGGUGAAGUCCCUCGCGGAUGGAGCUGAAAUCAGUCGAAGAUACCAGCUGGCUGCAACUGUUUAUUAAAAACACAGCACUGUGCAAACACGAAAGUGGACGUAUACGGUGUGACGCCUGCCCGGUGCCGGAAGGUUAAUUGAUGGGGUCAGCGCAAGCGAAGCUCUUGAUCGAAGCCCCGGUAAACGGCGGCCGUAACUAUAACGGUCCUAAGGUAGCGAAAUUCCUUGUCGGGUAAGUUCCGACCUGCACGAAUGGCGUAAUGAUGGCCAGGCUGUCUCCACCCGAGACUCAGUGAAAUUGAACUCGCUGUGAAGAUGCAGUGUACCCGCGGCAAGACGGAAAGACCCCGUGAACCUUUACUAUAGCUUGACACUGAACAUUGAGCCUUGAUGUGUAGGAUAGGUGGGAGGCUUAGAAGUGUGGACGCCAGUCUGCAUGGAGCCGACCUUGAAAUACCACCCUUUAAUGUUUGAUGUUCUAACGUUGACCCGUAAUCCGGGUUGCGGACAGUGUCUGGUGGGUAGUUUGACUGGGGCGGUCUCCUCCUAAAGAGUAACGGAGGAGCACGAAGGUUGGCUAAUCCUGGUCGGACAUCAGGAGGUUAGUGCAAUGGCAUAAGCCAGCUUGACUGCGAGCGUGACGGCGCGAGCAGGUGCGAAAGCAGGUCAUAGUGAUCCGGUGGUUCUGAAUGGAAGGGCCAUCGCUCAACGGAUAAAAGGUACUCCGGGGAUAACAGGCUGAUACCGCCCAAGAGUUCAUAUCGACGGCGGUGUUUGGCACCUCGAUGUCGGCUCAUCACAUCCUGGGGCUGAAGUAGGUCCCAAGGGUAUGGCUGUUCGCCAUUUAAAGUGGUACGCGAGCUGGGUUUAGAACGUCGUGAGACAGUUCGGUCCCUAUCUGCCGUGGGCGCUGGAGAACUGAGGGGGGCUGCUCCUAGUACGAGAGGACCGGAGUGGACGCAUCACUGGUGUUCGGGUUGUCAUGCCAAUGGCACUGCCCGGUAGCUAAAUGCGGAAGAGAUAAGUGCUGAAAGCAUCUAAGCACGAAACUUGCCCCGAGAUGAGUUCUCCCUGACCCUUUAAGGGUCCUGAAGGAACGUUGAAGACGACGACGUUGAUAGGCCGGGUGUGUAAGCGCAGCGAUGCGUUGAGCUAACCGGUACUAAUGAACCGUGAGGCUUAACCUU